rnacentral:rRNA from 1 species
UACGUAGGGUCCGAGCGUUGUCCGGAAUUAUUGGGCGUAAAGGGCUCGUAGGCGGUUUGUCGCGUCGGGAGUGAAAUCUUACAGCUUAACUGUGAACUUGCUUCCGAUACGGGCAGACUUGAGGCAUUCAGGGGAGAACGGAAUUCCUGGUGUAGCGGUGAAAUGCGCAGAUAUCAGGAGGAACACCGGUGGCGAAGGCGGUUCUCUGGGAAUGUACUGACGCUGAGACGCGAAAGCGUGGGGAGCGAACAGG